rnacentral:sRNA from 1 species
CACCAUGUUUUUUAGCGCAAAAAGGCUGGUGAUUAUAUAAUCACCAGCCU